rnacentral:rRNA from 1 species
GGAGUGCAAAACCGACGAGGUGGAGCGAACCCCUAAAACGACCGUCCCAGUUCAGAUCGCAGUCUGCAACCCGACUGCGUGAAGUCGGAAUCGCUAGUAAUCGCGGAUCAGCAUGCCGCGGUGAAUACGUUCCCGGGCCUUGUACACACCGCCCGUCACACCAUGAGAGUCGGGAACACCCGAAGUCCGUAGCCUAACCGCAAGGGGGGCGCGGCCGAAGGUGGGUUCGAUAAUUGGGGUGAAGUCGUAACAAGGUAUC